UACGUAGGGUCCGAGCGUUGUCCGGAAUUAUUGGGCGUAAAGAGCUCGUAGGCGGUUUGUCGCGUCUGCUGUGAAAUCCCGAGGCUCAACCUCGGGCCUGCAGUGGGUACGGGCAGACUGGAGUGCGGUAGGGGAGAAUGGAAUUCCUGGUGUAGCGGUGGAAUGCGCAGAUAUCAGGAGGAACACCGAUGGCGAAGGCAGUUCUCUGGGCCGUAACUAACGCUGAGGAGCGAAAGCGUGGGGAGCGAACAGG
rnacentral:rRNA from 1 species